ACCAGGAUCCACAGCUCCAGACACAGACCUCAUCUCAAGUGCUCCAUUGUGACACCCCACUCGAUCGGGUAGGGGAUCUUCUGCGCCAUCCCCCGAGAAGGUCUCGGUGUGCAUAAACCUUGCUUCAUGGACCAUCUCUCUUAUGUGGACACGAGCCAAUUCCCAGAAAUGCCCUGCUUGUCAAGAUGGUCAUGAUGAGGGCACUGAGGCAGAGAACGGUG